rnacentral:rRNA from 1 species
UGGCCGUAAACGAUGUGGACUUGGUGUUGGAAUGGCUCCGAGCUGCUCCAGUGCCGAAGGGAAGCUGUUAGGUCCACCGCCUGGGAAGUACGGUCGCAAGACUGAAACUUAAGGAUUGGCGGGGGAGCACCACAACGCGUGGAGCCUGCGGUUUAAUUGGAUUCAGCGCCGGACAUCUCACCAGGGGGCGACAGCAGAAUGAUGGCCAGGUUGAUGACCUUGCUUGACAAGCUGAGAGGAGGUGCAUGGCGUGUGACUGU